rnacentral:lncRNA from 1 species
CACUUUCUGAGUCUAUGUUGCUGUGGAAUACUUAGAUUUGUCCUUUUUGACAUCAUAUGUUGGGAAGUAGGUAAUAACAUCAGAACCUAAGCCAUAGAUUCAUGCUUUCUACAUGAGUGAAGGGGAGAAAUGAGGAUGGAGAAGUACAAGGUUGCUCUAUGUUCCUGCAGAAAAGUUUCAUUAAAUAUAUUGCUUAAAAUAUCCAUAAAAGUUAACAGAUGCACGAAGAAUAAUAAAAUAUCUUGAAAACAGAUAAGACAGGAGUGUCAUACAAACAAAAGGUGGAAGAUACAAAACUAAAGAAACAUGGGCAAAGGAGUCAUGAUUGCAUGGACUGCGUGCAUUAAAAUUAAGUACAAGCAAGUGAAUGGGGAAAUUUGCCAGAGCUGAGAUGGAAUGCACAUGAUCAAAGAAACGUCAAAGAUGUAGGUCUUAAUUUUUGUAUUUGUUGUUAAGUUGAAAUUCAGACUAGUGUUUGACAAGUCCGUAGAAAGGCAUGCCAGAAAAAGUUGUUAGUUUUUUGGUCAUUUUCUAUAGAAUAAAAACAUACUUUCAACUGUAGAUUGAAUCA